rnacentral:rRNA from 1 species
AUUGAACGCUGGCGGCGGGCUUAACACAUGCAAGUCGAGCGAGCGGCGGACGGGUGAGUAAUGUCUGGGAAACUGCCUGAUGGAGGGGGAUACCUACUGGAAACGGUAGCUAAUCCCGCAUACCAUCAGAUGUGCCCAGAUGGGAUUAGCUAGUAGGUGGGGUAAUGGCUCACCUAGGCGACGAUCCCUAGCUGGUCUGAGAGGAUGACCAGUCACACUGGAACUGAGACACGGUCCAGACUCCUACGGGAGGCAGCAGUGGGGAAUCUUGCACAAUUGGCGAAAGCCUGAGGCAGCCAUGCCGCGUGUGUGAAGAAGGCCUUCGGGUUGUAAAGCACUUUCAGCGAGGAGGCGUUACUCGCAGAAGAAGCACCGGCUAACUCCGUGCCAGCGGCCGCGGUAAUUC